AUUGAACGCUGGCGGCAGGCCUAACACAUGCAAGUCGAGCGGAUGACGGGAGCUUGCUCCUGGAUUCAGCGGCGGACGGGUGAGUAAUGCCUAGGAAUCUGCCUGGUAGUGGGGGACAACGUUUCGAAAGGAACGCUAAUACCGCAUACGUCCUACGGGAGAAAGCAGGGGACCUUCGGGCCUUGCGCUAUCAGAUGAGCCUAGGUCGGAUUAGCUAGUUGGUUAGGUAAUGGCUCACCAAGGCGACGAUCCGUAACUGGUCUGAGAGGAUGAUCAGUCACACUGGAACUGAGACACGGUCCAGACUCCUACGGGAGGCAGCAGUGGGGAAUAUUGGACAAUGGGCGAAAGCCUGAUCCAGCCAUGCCGCGUGUGUGAAGAAGGUCUUCGGAUUGUAAAGCACUUUAAGUUGGGAGGAAGGGCAGUAAGCGAAUACCUUGCUGUUUUGAUGUUACCGACAGAAUAAGCACCGGCUAACUCUGUGCCAGCCGCCGCCGUAAAAC
rnacentral:rRNA from 1 species